rfam:Planktothrix serta PCC 8927 isolate BBR_PRJEB10992 genome assembly, scaffold: BBR_A_PL8927_scaffold56
GGAGAGGUGGCAGAGUUGGUCGAAUGCGGCAGACUCGAAAUCUGUUAGGGGUCUUGCACUCCUCGUGGGUUCGAAUCCCACCCUCUCCG